UAUCCUGGCUCAGGAUGAACGCUGGCGGCGUGCCUAAUACAUGCAAGUCGAGCGAACAGAUGAGGAGCUUGCUCCUCUGACGUUAGCGGCGGACGGGUGAGUAACACGUGGGUAACCUACCUAUAAGACUGGAACAACUCCGGGAAACCGGGGCUAAUGCCGGAUAAUAUGCGGAACCGCAUGGUUCUGCAAUGAAAGACGGUUUUGCUGUCACUUAUAGAUGGACCCGCGCCGUAUUAGCUAGUUGGUAAGGUAACGGCUUACCAAGGCAACGAUACGUAGCCGACCUGAGAGGGUGAUCGGCCACACUGGAACUGAGACACGGUCCAGACUCCUACGGGAGGCAGCAGUAGGGAAUCUUCCGCAAUGGGCGAAAGCCUGACGGAGCAACGCCGCGUGAGUGAUGAAGGUCUUCGGAUCGUAAAACUCUGUUAUUAGGGAAGAACAAGUGCGUAGGUAACUAUGCGCACCUUGACGGUACCUAAUCAGAAAGCCACGGCUAACUACGUG
rnacentral:rRNA from 1 species